rnacentral:lncRNA from 1 species
AAGGCGGGGCUUUGCAAAGAGAGUAGCCUCUGGUCCUUUUGUUACUCAGGAGUGGAUAGUUAGGGUUUUCCUUUCUAACUAAAUUGUUCUAGGAAGUCAGUGUGAAACGGCCUUAGGUUCUCUGCCUCCAGACCCUAAUCUCCUGCCUCAGUCUCAGGCUACAGGCUGGAGGCAGAAGUGGGAGGAUUGCUUGAGCUCAGGAGGUUGAGGCUGCAGUGAACCGACAUCAUGUCACCGCACUCUAGCCUGGAUAAUGUUUUUCAACAAAUAUUAACCGCCUGGGAGGAAAUACAGAAGUGAACAAUCAAAUGAAAUAAAAAUAAAACUGAUGUUAAUAACAAUAAAGCCUCAAAUAGCAACGAACCCAGAGAGACAUCAACCUGGGCUUCCCAAUCAUCCAGGAGUUGUCCCAGAAAGGAUAAUCCAACAGAUGCAGCAGGCUAGAGUCCAAUGGACCCAUCUCAGCUCACUGCAGCCUUGACCUCCCCAACUCAAGCGAUCUGUCCACCUGCGUCUCCCAAAGUGUUGGGAUUACAGGAGUGAGCCACUGCACCUCGCCACGGAAAAUUUCAAUAAACAGCAUUGGAAUAACUGAUCAACAAUCUGAUGCCCUCAAAAUUAAUUACAGGGUCUAUCAAUCAUCGCCGGGGAUAACUUCCUUCAGAGUCACAUUACCUGAUUAGAAUUCCACUUCCUGUUCUUCAGAAGUCUCGCCUUGGAUAGAUUUGACCUAAGGUGAGGACACAGCAUUUGUUCCGUCUGCAACAUGAGGAUGCAGGAAGAAGGCAUUCACCAGACACCAAAUGCUGGCACCUUCAUCUCGGACUUCCCAGCCACCAGAACUGUUUUUAUCCAGAACUCUACCUUUGGGCAUAGACAUGGUUCUCAGGAGCUGAAAGAAAACAACCAGGAAUGCAUCAGCUCUUCAUAUUUCUCAGGGUCUGGAUCCAUCACCCAGGUGGGGGUGCAGUGGCAUGAUCAUGGCUCACUGCAGCCUCAACCUCGCAGGCUCAAGCAAUCCUCCCACCUCAGCUUCCUAAGUAGCUGGGACUACAGGUGUGUGACACCAUCCCCAGCUAAUUUUUUUUUUUUUUUUUACUUUUUGUAGAGGCAAGGUCUCACUAUGUUGCCCAGGCUAAAACACAAACAUUUUUGAAUGACAAACAUAUUUUCCCAGACAUAAGAUAAUUCAUAGGAAGAGUGGCACUAUUUAACAGUUUUAUAAAUCUCUUUGAUGUCCAGCUUAAUAUAAGACAGCUGGAUUAUCAAAUCUGCUUCUCCACUCAAUCUGCUGUGAUAUAUGGUUUUGGUUGAAACAUUUGCAGUUAAUCCAACCUCCCACAGAUAUGUCAUGGGAAAAGAGAGAAGUAUUUUAGCAGACUUUUCAGAUAAUUGUGGAGAUUUUUCUUUGAUACUACAUUAAAAACUCAACAAGUAGUUAGUUGCAGUGUGGAAUAUGAAACUAUAUAAAUAAAUAUAUCAUAUCCUGUUACAUUUACAUCCAUUGGUAUGUUUUGAACUUUGAACACGCAUUUUACUCAUUUUGUAUCAUCAUCCAUGGGUCAUCUGGAAAAUACUGGCUCACUGAGCAAUGCAGGUCUUCCCAAUGUCAACACCUUUCAUUAUGUGAUAUAAAAAAUCACAUUUGUUAAUAUUAUCUCCAAUCUCAUCUGAAAAGUCUUUAAGUUUUGGGAAGCUCUCAAGCUCACAGUGGCAGAUAAAAGUUUAAAACAAUUUUUGGUUUUCUAUUGAAAGCCUGAAUUUUAUUAUUGGCAAUAAAUACUGCCAGUUGUUUUCCCUGAACUGACAGGCUCUCUUUGUUCCUUUCCAAGAAAAUGUCUAGCAAGUAUUU